GGGAGGCAGACAUGUGUGCCACCUUUGCAUUUUGAAAAGCUGGUCACCCUAAAUAUACUGUUUUUGUGAAAUGUUCCUACUUAGUAGAAAAAUUUCUAAGGGGUAAUAAGAAGUUCAUGCUACUGUAAGAUAUUAAUAUGAUUAUUAGCAAUGCAGAUAGAUUUCCCUAAUAUUUUGUCAUUUUUAGCCAUCUUAUUUUGAUUUACAAGAAUAUCUACAAGCAUCCAUCAUGUACUACCAGCAUAAUUUUACAAGAAGCAGCACAUUAUGAAAACAAUAUUCAAAACCCACAUCUCACUAAGGAUCGGUAUGUCAGCAAUCUUAUAAAUAAAACUCCUCCUACAUCAAAAAGUGAAGAGAAAAUCAAAGCACUUGCUAUUUCUUGUUUCAUUUGACCAUUGUGCAGUUUCCAAACCUGCAAAAAGACAUAGAAAUAUUUAAAAUGCAUCUGGUUUCCAUAUAUCCAUUCUCAUACAUAUAUAUGGUGCAUAUAAAUUAAGAGGCUCAAUUAAACUUGGUACAAAUGUAUUGUUAUGAAAUAUAUUCAUUUUGUUACAUUACAGUUAAACUAGUUGAGGUAUUUAACAAGGGAUAAAAUCAAUUUGCUUAUGUGAAUUAAUUUAUUUGUCAGGUGUUUUGUAGCUUCCAUCCUUAGCAUAAAAGGAUAUCAUAGCUCAUAUCAUAUCUCCAGUAUUACUGCAACAGAUGUUCUAUUUAGUCAUUUAUUUUCAUGUUUAGUGUGAUUGUAGGUCAUAGAUGGGGCAGUGACCAUUAUUUCCCUGUGAGUCAGAGUUCCAGCUCACUGAUUGCUGCCUUUUUUCCUCCUUGAAAAUGUGGCUGUCAAAGGAGGUAGUCCUGUUAAUGCAGUGGCUUUUUCUCUGUGCUCCCAAGGUCUCAUCCCUUUAAGUCAAUGACACUUUAGAAGUGCAGGAUCAAGCAUUGUGAGAGGAAAAUGCUCUGAGAAGAGCCCAGAGCAAAUUCUGUGAGCUGUGUAGGAGGAAAUUUCUCUCCUGCAGACACUCUCCUUACUGAUGAUACUAGUGGACAGGAAGAUGCAUGCGUCGUUUUCAGCACAUGCUUUUGAGAAUCGGGUCUCAAUCUUUUCCCAUUUGAGAGAGAAUGAAUUACUGCCAUUUCUGUUGUGAGAGAGAUCAACAUUUUUUACAGCCUUUUUUACUUAUCAGUGUUUUCUAUAAUAGUUAUCAUUAUCAGUAACUGAAUCAGGAACAUUUGCAGGGCUGGUAAUCAUGCCUACUAGGCAACUGCUGUUGCCGCAGGGGAGACGGGAAGGAUGUAUGUGUUCCGUGUGUCCUAUGGGCAUUGUGGCCACAUCUUUUAACUGUAGACUUAAAUGAUGGAUUCAAAUCUGUUUAAAAGCAGCAGAUCGAGAGAGCAGACGUCAUCAGACUGUAAACUGUCUGAGUUAGUGCAAAACUGGGGAUUAAACUACCUGGAAGUUUCCCAAGAGAAGUAAUGUAAUGUUAAAUUUAGAACAGCAAGGAGAUUAAAAGUUAAGGCAGAAUUUGGUCUGUGCCCUGCUUUUCUAUCAACAUAUCUCAGCUACUUUUGUAAUCUGAUUUGAGGCAGAAAGUGCCAAAAAACAAAACAAAACAAAACAGGAGCAUAAUACAACCACCUUGAUAGCCCAGCCCAAGUGGUACAGGUGAGCUACUGCUGAUUUACUUGUAGAGUGUCCAGAGUAGGUGUCCAGCUUCCUUUGUGAGGGAUCUCAGAAGGUAGUGCUGGGUAUCUGUUUUCCUUUCCUAAACACCAUCUGCAAUGGAGAACUUCUGGAUUCUGGUUUGUUCCUCUUCAGUGUAGGCAUGAGACAAUGACAAGUCUGAGACUUUUGUCUCAUCAGGAUGCAGUGUUAUCAGUAAUGCAGAUGACAGGCGACUUUUCCCCUUAAUUAAACUGAGAUUCAGUGUAGUUGCAUUUCACUUGCCAUAUCCCCCUGAGAAGGGAUUCAAGGAAAAUCAGUUGAACCGUCACAAAAUGGAAGUGAUGGCUGCUACUAGGAGAAGCAUUGAACACAAUGAAUGUCAAGGGUGUCUGUAGCAUUUUGCCAGCUUUUAUUUAAGCAUCAUCUUACAUCAUUUAUUAAGUAUCAUCUUCUGCUUUGAGUGACGGAAACACAAAUAAAAAGGAAAAUAAUUGAAUCCUGAUGCCAACAGAGUAAGUCUCAAGAUUAUCAGGGAAAAGCAUCUUCUGAAAUUUUUUUUUCCUGUUUUAGUAAGGGAAACAGGUUUGCAUAAAAUGUAGUUCUCAAUUUGUUAUCCUCUUUGAUUUGAAUAUAAGGAAUAGGUUUCUAGAACAAAAGGGUUACAGUCCCAUCUACAUUGCUAGUUAUAGCAUAUAUAUUAAGUGAAGUAUUCUUUUCAGAUGAGGUCCACUCCCUUGCAAGUGAAGGUGAUUCAGCUGGCUAGGAGAGACAAUGAGACUAUAUUGGGAAUGUAGGAAAGUAAGGUCAAUUAUACUAUUCUUUACCAGUUGCCCACUGUUUUGUCUCUCUCUCUUUCUCCCUGUCUCUCCCUUUUAUUCUAAUGUUGAUUUCCUCUUGUCCUCCACCCUUCCUGAUGCAUCCACUGGCCAACACAGCUCCCAUUCAUAUGUCACACAUAUUCAAACCAUCUCACCAUACCACUUUUAGGCCUCUUGACAAAUGAUUCUCUCAAAUUACAUUCCUAGCAAUCACAUCCAGGCUUAGUGCAAAGAGGGUAGCCAAAGCUGCAACAAAACAAACCCCAGCCUAUUUUUAAAAUGAUAAUCUGCAGUGAAAAGGCAUGGUGGCACUACCCAUUGAAGGAACGCAGUCUCAUCUUGAUUACAUGGAAGCAGCUGAAGUCACUCCUUUGAGCGAACACUGGAGGAUUUUUGUCAAGGAUUAUUAGUGGGGAGGAAAUCAUAUAUGCACUAAAUAGACUUGGAAAAUAUGCAGCACUGAAGCCAAACUUGUGUGCUGCUGCACAUGGCUGCAGGCUGUUAAGUGUUGCUAUAAUGCUGAUUUAAAGGCUUAUGAAUGCUGAGAAUCUAAGAGGUCAGUCUGGCCCAUGUCCAGGGCUCAUCCUACUGCCCGCCCACAUUGAAUAAUCCAUUUCAUGGUCCAUUGGCUAAACAGUGUGGCCAGGAUAGUGGAGGAUACAGGAUUACUUUAUGUGCUGUCUACAAAAGAGAAUGCAUUGCUUUGGGGAACAGAGGGGGAACACUAUUGUAUUCUCUGUGCAGGAAAUGUUCAGAUUCAGCUCUGCUUUGUUUAAAUGACCUCUCUACAGUGAAUUGAAAUGAUAAAUGAUGUUAAAUGGAUCACUUUCAUGAUUUGUCAAGAACACAUGAUGGCCUCUAACUAAGCAUUUAUAUAGAGCUAUGAAGGUGGGGGUGGGCAGUUAGGAGUACUUUUGUGCUAGGCACUGUGUGAGCAGAGAAAUAGACUGCUUAUGCUCAGAAGCAUCUUUGAAGGCUGGGGAAAGCAAGGCAAAUGUAUGUAUUUGCUACUUUUAAAAAAAUAUUUGCUUCAGAUUUGCAACUGGAUUAAAAAACAAAACAAAGUCUCCCAAGCAGCUCUUAACCUUAACCACAAUGAGCAUUACAAUUUUUUUUGACAGAGUAUGUCAGAAGUAUAUCCUGAGAUGGGAUUUGAGGUGAGGGGAAUAGAAUUUAAUUCUAGAUUAGCUCAGGGCUCACAUGCUCUGCAGAGUGUGGCAUGGAACAAAGCACAAAGAUAGCUGUGGGAUGGGUGGGCAAGAGGCUGGCUGAAACUGCCAUCACUGGUGAAUGGGUAUGGGGAGGGCCUGGCACACUAGGAAACAAGCUCAUAAAUAAGAUGAGGCAGAGUUAGGUAGGCCCUUGCCAGGUUAUGGCUAGGAGCUUGAAGUGAACCAAGUGAAAUAAUCACUAUGGAAUGCCUAGAAAAACAGGAGGAUAUGGUCAAAGUGACAGUUGUUGAAGAUAAUCUGAGCAUUUGUAUUCUGUAUGGAACAAAGGGGGUGAAACAUGCGUCAGAGAGACUGAAGGAGAGAGGUUUUCAGUGAUAAGGACAGGAGAUGAUACAGGUGUGGACACGAAUAUGUAGCUGAGUGGAGCAAAAGUACAGAACAUCUUUCUGCGCCAUUAUGGUGGAAGAAUAAUCAAGGGUUAGUUAUACCCUCACUAUGACAGGCAUUACAGUGGAAGGAGUCAGAGGCAAUGCCCAGGCCACAGGCCUGGCAGAGAGGAAGUAAAUCCAUGGUGUUGUUAAC